AUUGAACGCUGGCGGAAUGCUUUACACAUGCAAGUCGAACGGCAGCACGGGGGCAGCCCUGGUGGCGAGUGGCGAACGGGUGAGUAAUACAUCGGAACGUGCCCGGUCGAGGGGGAUAACGUAACGAAAGGUACGCUAAUACCGCAUACGAUCUGAGGAUGAAAGCGGGGGACCUUCGGUCCUCGCGCGAUCGGCGCGGCCGAUGACAGAUUAGGUAGUUGGUGGGGUAAAGGCGUACCAAGCCGACGAUCUGUAGCUGGUCUGAGAGGACGACCAGCCACACUGGGACUGAGACACGGCCCAGACUCCUACGGGAGGCAGCAGUGGGGAAUUUUGGACAAUGGGCGCAAGCCUGAUCCAGCCAUGCCGCGUGCAGGACGAAGGCCUUCGGGUUGUAAAAUGCUUUUGUACGGAACGAAAAGGCUCUGGAUAAUCCCUGGGGGUCAUGACGGUACCGUAAGAAUAAGCACCGGCUAACUACGUG
rnacentral:rRNA from 1 species